rnacentral:rRNA from 1 species
AACACAUGCAAGUCGAGCGGUAACAGAUCUAGCUUGCUAGAUGCUGACGAGCGGCGGACGGGUGAGUAAUGCAUAGGAAUCUGCCCGAUAGUGGGGGAUAACCUGGGGAAACCCAGGCUAAUACCGCAUACGUCCUACGGGAGAAAGGGGGCUUUGGCUCCCGCUAUUGGAUGAGCCUAUGUCGGAUUAGCUAGUUGGUGAGGUAAAGGCUCACCAAGGCGACGAUCCGUAGCUGGUCUGAGAGGAUGAUCAGCCACAUCGGGACUGAGACACGGCCCGAACUCCUACGGGAGGCAGCAGUGGGGAAUAUUGGACAAUGGGGGCAACCCUGAUCCAGCCAUGCCGCGUGUGUGAAGAAGGCCCUCGGGUUGUAAAGCACUUUCAGCGAGGAAGAACGCCUGUCGGUUAAUACCCGKYAGGAAAGACAUCACUCGCAGAAGAAGCACCGGCUAACUCCGUGCCAGCAGCCGCGGUAAUACGGAGGGUGCAAGCGUUAAUCGGAAUUACUGGGCGUAAAGCGCGCGUAGGUGGCUUGAUAAGCCGGUUGUGAAAGCCCCGGGCUCAACCUGGGAACGGCAUCCGGAACUGUCAGGCUAGAGUGCAGGAGAGGAAGGUAGAAUUCCCGGUGUAGCGGUGAAAUGCGUAGAGAUCGGGAGGAAUACCAGUGGCGAAGGCGGCCUUCUGGACUGACACUGACACUGAGGUGCGAAAGCGUGGGUAGCAAACAGGAUUAGAUACCCUGGUAGUCCACGCCGUAAACGAUGUCGACCAGCCGUUGGGUGCCUAGCGCACUUUGUGGCGAAGUUAACGCGAUAAGUCGACCGCCUGGGGAGUACGGCCGCAAGGUUAAAACUCAAAUGAAUUGACGGGGGCCCGCACAAGCGGUGGAGCAUGUGGUUUAAUUCGAUGCAACGCGAA